GUCACACUGGAUCAAAGCUAUCAAGUCAAGAUGUGCAUGCUAGGGGUAUUGCUGUCUCUUGCCACAUGCCCGGAACAAGGAAACAGUCAUCUGGAAGAAUCAUUUGAACAUGAAAAGAAGUGGAAUAGAAGACCUUGCAUGCUCUCUCCUGCUCUCAUAGUUUCCUCUAGGUUCACUUCCUAUCUCUCAUCAACUCGAGCUGCUGAAGUCAUGAUCUGUGAGCUCAAAAUGAAAGAUAUUAUUCUCACAGCCUUUGAGGAAACACCCAGGAAGGAGGAAUGCACAGUGUUGUCAGGACCCAUGUUAGGACUCAUCCACAGCUGGCACAGUCUGACUCAUCCCAGGCAAACACCCAGAGUGAAGUUGUAUGAAAGAGACAGCAGUGAUCAAAGGGAAAAUGUGUGUUCAUCCUUUAUUCUGUAA
rnacentral:lncRNA from 1 species